rnacentral:lncRNA from 1 species
GUGGAACCGGGCAUGGAUUCAACGGGGGCCCACAUAAGAGUUCGUUCCCGGAAAAUGAAGAAAGCGGGAAAGUUUGGAGGGAAGACGGGAUUGAACCGUUGAGUUGGUUAUGACUCACGUUUAAGAGACGGAGUCGGGUGAUGUUGAGGUCGGGAACGGAUCCCGAAAAGGAGUUGAAUUGGAGGUUGAGGGAGGUGAGACGGGUGAGGUUUUUUAGUGUUUCCGGGAUGUUUCCUGUGAAGGAAUUGAAGGAGAGAUCUAAAUUGGUAAUUUGGGGAGAAACACUAAGAGGGAUUUCACCAGAAAAGUUGUUGUUUUCAAGGUAGAGAAACUGGAGGGAGGGAAUGGAGAUGAUAU